rnacentral:lncRNA from 1 species
AGAAAGUGGAACCAACAGGAAAGCCUGCAUUCCACAGCAGCAAUGGCCUUGGAGUUGACAUCUUCAUUUGACAAACAUGGCGAAAUUCUGACUUUGAGCAAGGUUAUUGGAUACGCAGGAUGACAUUGUCCUUCAGAGAGGAGAAUAUAUGGCUCAAGCUGUGGAUGUGGGUGAGUCGUGGCAGAUCAGGAUGCAGAGAAUGAGAACAGAAGCAGGCAUAGGCAUCUGCAAAGCCCAUCCUCCAUGACCUCUCUCCAUUAACUAGACCUCAGGAUCUUCCCAAACGUCUCUUUGGCUGGGAACCUUGAG